AYGGYGGAGACCUAGGCACCCAGAGACGAUGAAGGGCGCAGAUACCGGCGAUACGCUCCGGGGAGCUGGCAACAAGCUUUGAUCCGGAGAUCCCCGAAUAGGGCAACCACUUGAACUACCUAUAUAAUUCAUAGUUAGGUAAGAGGCAACCCGGUGAAUUGAAACAUCUUAGUAGCCGGAGGAAAAGAAAGCAAAAGCGAUUCCCGGAGUAGCGGCGAGCGAAACGGGAACAGCCUAAACCGAUCCAUUAGGUUCGGUGUAGAGGGAGGACAUUAUGGAAUAACGUGUUCAAAAAAUACGUAUUCCAAAGAAAGCAUAACAAUGGAAUAUAUCCAAAAAAAUUGUGGAUAUAUUCAAUUUUUCAAUAGACGAAGCAGCUGAAUCCUGCACCAUAGAUGGUGAAAGUCCAGUAGUCAAAAAAAAAAUAUGCAAUUGUCUUAUCCCGAGUAGCAUGGGGCACGUGAAAUCCCGUGUGAAUCUGCGAGGACCACCUCGUAAGGCUAAAUACUCCUGGGUGACCGAUAGCGAAAUAGUACCGCGAGGGAAUGGUUAAAUAGAACCCCCGUAGGAGUGAAAUAGAACAUGAAACCGUUCGCUGACAAGCAGUGGGAGGGGGUUUGACCCUGACCGCGUGCCUGUUGAAGAAUGAGCCGGCGACUUAUAAGAAGUGGCCAGGUUAAGGAAUAAUAUCCGGAGCCUAAGCGAAAGCAAGUCUGAAUAGGGCGUAUGAGUCACUUCUUAUGGACCCGAACCCGGGUGAUCUAAUCCUGACCAGGAUGAAGUUUGGGUAACACCAAAUGGAAGACCGAACCGACCGAUGUUGAAAAAUCGACGGAUGAGUUUGGAUUAGGGGAGAAAUUCCAAUCGAACUCGGAGCUAGCUGGAUCUCCCCGAAAUGCGUUGAGGCGCAGCGGCGACGAUGAGCUAUCUAGGGGUAAAGCACUGUUUCGAUACGGGCUGCGAAAGCGGUACCAAGUCGUGGCAAACUCAGAAUACUAGAUAAUGCAUUCCGUCAGCCAGUGAGACUGCGGGGGAUAAGCUCCGUUGUCAAGAGGGAAACAGCCCAGAUCACCAGCUAAGGCCCCUAAAUGGUCACUAAGUGGAUAAGGAUGUGAGAAUGCUUAAACAACCAGGAGGUUCGCUUAGAAGCAGCUAUCUUCCUUGAAAGAGUGCGUAAUAGCUCACUGGUAAAGCGUUCUUGCGCCGAGAAUGGCCGGGACUAAGUGACCUGCCGAAGCUGUGAGAUUUCCUCUAUUUAUAAUAGAAAGGGAUUCGGUAGGGGAGCGUUCCGCUCUCGGGUGAAGCUUUCACGGAAGUGGGGGUGGACGAAGCGGAAGUGAGAAUGUCGGCUUGAGUAACGAAAACAUUGGUGAGAAUCCAAUGCCCCGAAAACCUAAGGGUUCCUCCACUAGGCUCGUCCAUGGGGGGUUAGUCAGGACCUAAGACUAGGCCGAAAGGCGUCGUCGAUGGAAAACAGGUUAAUAUUCCUGUACUGAUUUUAUUGGGAACCGAGGGACGAAGGAGGCUAAACUGGGACUGCUUCUGGAUUUCAGUGGAAGCGUCCGAGACGUUGAAGGGUAGAAUAAAAACUAUCAAUAAGUUGAGGCGUGAUCCCGCAUUUCCUUUUUAAAGGAUGUGCGCCAGCGAUGUCAUACUUCCAAGAAAAGCUCGAACACCAUUAACAAUAAAAUCACCUGUACCUGAAACCGACACAGGUAGGUUAGUAGAGAAUACUAAGGGGCGCGAGAGAACUCUCUCUAAGGAACUCGGCAAACUAGCCCCGUAACUUCGGGAGAAGGGGCGCCCUCUCUCUUAAAAAGAGAGGGUUGCAGUGACCAGGCCCAGGCGACUGUUUACCAAAAACACAGGUCUCCGCAAAGUCGUAAGACAAUAUAUGGUGGCUGACGCCUGCCCAGUGCCGGAAGGUUAAGGAAGUUGGUUAUUGCGUAAGCAAGAAGCUGACGACCGAAGCCCCGGUGAACGGCGGCCGUAACUAUGACGGUCGUGAGACAGUUCGGUCCAUAUCCG
rnacentral:rRNA from 1 species